UACGAAGGGGGCUAGCGUUGCUCGGAAUCACUGGGCGUAAAGGGUGCGUAGGCGGGUCUUUAAGUCAGGGGUGAAAUCCUGGAGCUCAACUCCAGAACUGCCUUUGAUACUGAGAGGCUCGAGUCCGGGAGAGGUGAGUGGAACUGCGAGUGUAGAGGUGAAAUUCGUAGAUAUUCGCAAGAACACCAGUGGCGAAGGCGGCUCACUGGCCCGGUACUGACGCUGAGGUGCGAAAGCGUGGGGAGCAAACAGG
rnacentral:rRNA from 1 species